ACAACACCCCAGCAGUGAGAACUCAGUGUGCAUGUGAGUCAAGUGGCCAUAAAGACUCUGCCCACAACCUCAGGUGAUGAGGUGGAGAAGGACUACCCUGGAGUUCAAACACAUGGAGGAGGGGUCCAGGCGGUUCAGAGUCAGGCUGCCAACCUUCAUCCAACUUUAGUGCAGAAGAGAGGCUACUGCUUGCCAUCUAGUGCUGGGCUGUCUUGAUAUCUGUUGGCAGUGUUUGAAUGUCCUUCCAUGCUGAUCAGGACUCUGGAGUCAGCUACUCAGGAGCAGUGUGGUCCAAGAAAGUCCCACUAUAGGAAAAACUUCAGAGAGGAUGCCAUUCUGAACCAAUGAGAACCCUCAUAUGAUCAAGAACGUCUUUGUAUGUAGAAGACUUUAUUGGAAGAAGACAAGAGUCACAUCAAACCUGCUCCCGGGGACUGAGAAGGCAAACUUGUUGCUAGAGCAGCACCUGAAACUGUCUAUGACCAAAUACUUGACAAGAAGCAACUUACAGAAGAAAAUACUGGGGCUGGAGAUUAGCUUAGUCAGUAGAAUGCUUUCCCAGCAUGCAUGAAGCCCUGGGUCCAAUCCCCAGCCCCACACAAAAGCAGAAGGAUCAGAAGUGCAUUGCUCUGGUAGCCAGCUUAGAACAGGCGAGACCCUUUAUAGGGUGGAGAGAUCUAUUUUGGCACAUGGAGUAGCCCAUCCAUCUCUGUUGGGAAAAUAUUUUCCAACUGGCAAAAGAUGUGGUACAGGCAUAGUGGCAGAAACUGCUUGAGGCUGAAGCAGUAGGAGUGUGAAACUGCUUGGUCACAUCUAGAUGGAUGAACAAAUGGAGCAAAACAGAUGCUGGUAACUCACCUGGCU